GAGUUUGAUCCUGGCUCAGAACGAACGCUGGCGGCGCGCCUAACACAUGCAAGCCGCGCGAGAAAGGCACCUUCGGGUGCCGAGUAAAGCGGCGGACGGGUGAGUAACACGUGAGUAACGUGCCUUCGAGUGUGGGGAUAACCGUCCGAAAGGGUGGCUAAUACCGCAUGAGACCACAAGGGCGGAUGCCCAAGAGGUCAAAGAGCUUCGGCUCGCUCGAAGAUCGGCUCGCGGCUCAUUAGGUCGAUGGUGAGGUAAUGGCUCACCAUGCCGAAGAUGAGUAGCUGGUCUGAGAGGACGAUCAGCCACACUGGGACUGAGACACGGCCCAGACUCCUACGGGAGGCAGCAGUGGGGAAUCUUGCGCAAUGGGUGCAAGCCUGACGCAGCGACGCCGCGUGUGUGACGAAGGCCUUCGGGUCGUAAAGCACUGUCAGCCGGGAAGAAGACACAUACGCCAAACGUGUGUGUGUUGACGUAC
rnacentral:rRNA from 1 species